AGCUCCAAUAGCGUAUAUUAAAGUUGUUGCAGUUAAAACGCUCGUAGUCGGAUUUCGGGGCGGCUUCGUCGGUCUGCCGAUGGGUAUGCACUGACGCGGGCGUCCUUCCUUCCGGAGACGCGUCCUACUCUUAGCUGAGCGGGGCGUGGAGACGGAUCGUUUACUUUGAAAAAAUCAGAGUGUUUCAAGCAGGCAUCAUCGCUCUUGCAUGGAUUAGCAUGGGAUAAUGAAAUAGGACCUUGGUGCUAUUUUGUUGGUUUCGAGCACCGAAGUAAUGAUUAACAGGGACAGUCAGGGGCACUCGUAUUCCGCCGAGAGAGGUGAAAUUCUCAGACCAGCGGAAGACGAACCACUGCGAAAGCAUUUGCCAGGGAUGUUUUCA
rnacentral:rRNA from 1 species